CUUGUACUCCCUCCAUCCCAUAUUAAGUGCCGAAAUAUUACAUGUAUCUAGACACUUUUUAGGUAUAGAUACAUCCAUAUUUGGGCAAAUUUGAGUCACUUAAUAUGGGACAGAGGGAGCAAUUG
rfam:Brachypodium distachyon strain Bd21 chromosome 3, whole genome shotgun sequence.